CAAUCUGGAGAGCGACGCAAUGCGUCCACCGAAGGGGAACCGCCUGCAUGGCGGUUGAAACUCUCAGGUCACAGGACAGAUGG
rnacentral:ncRNA from 2 species